rnacentral:rRNA from 1 species
GAUCAGGUAGGACUACCCGCUGAAC